rnacentral:rRNA from 1 species
GACGUAGGUGGCGAACGUUAUCCGGAAUUAUUGGGCGUAAAGGGUGCGUAGGCGGUUCGGUAAGUUUCGUGUGAAAUCUUCGGGCUCAACUCGAAGCCUGCACGAGAUACUGCCGGGCUUGAGUGUGGGAGAGGUGAGUGGAAUUUCCGGUGUAGCGGUGAAAUGCGUAGAUAUCGGGAGGAACACCUGUGGCGAAAGCGGCUCACUGGACCACAACUGACGCUGAGGCGCGAAAGCUAGGGGAGCAAACAGG